UGCAUUGUUUUCCGUUAAUUGCCUGAACAACAAGAGAGAGGUGACGCCGCAGCCGCUUCCUAAUUGCGGCAUGAGAAAAACAGCGUUUUCCCGGUGCAACAAUACUGCUGCUGUUCUUUGCUCCGGCGUUCUGGAUGAUUGGGAAAAAGGCUGCUGACGUCGUGCCUCUACUUCUAUCGGUCCUCUGCCCACGCGAGCACGGCGCCAUCGAUCCCCCAUCCUCUCGCCGCCCAGAAGAGAUCCUUGUGCCUGGAUUGGGUUUUCCGGGUGCGCCGUCGCCGUAGUCGCGAGAUUGGCUGGGAUAGAAAAUUUCUUUUCCUACGCGGCCCUUCUCCAGAAGCGUGUGCGGAAGCGAUAGUGUGCGGGAGAAGAGAAAAAAAGGCUUCCCCAUAAACUGUGGAGAGAUACGACGGUCUGUGAUGUAGUGGAUUGAAGUUUACGUAAAGAAACUAGAAAGUAAAGGAUACACCUAACCCCCCUGGUGUAUCCCCGCAAUACGCACAGUGACCAUUGAGUGGAUCCCCGGGGUUUUCCAUCUCGCAGUUGUUAUUCGUCCAUCAAACUCAGGUUGCUGAUAACGGAGAAGAAAAUCCCAGCAGCCUCCUUGUGUUGCCUAGCGAGUUGGCAAUUGCACAUAAAUACACACACACAACCACCGGUGACUACGUGUUUGACGGCCGGGAAGGAGCGCAUCAGGUUGCCAUGAAAAAUGAGAGAGAUCGAGAGCAGGCGGUGAAAAUCGAGCAAGCAACAAGCGGAACAGGUAAACUCCAAGGCACCACCACCCAGGAUUGUUAAUUGACCGCCGUCAUCACGGUUACGUACCACGAACGAGAGGGACAGAAAGAGAGAACGGGAAAGUGUUGUGAAGUCAAGCAUUAUCCUGUGGAUCAUCGUGCUUUUUUCAUCGACUCAUCGCCUUCGUCCCAUGAAACAGUCGGGAUAAUCUUAUCGAUAAGAU